GCUCGUAUGUUGAAAUUGGUAAACAAGACGGACUUAAAAUCCGUUGGGAGUUAUCCCUUAUAGGUUCAAGUCCUAUUACGAGCA
rnacentral:tRNA from 1 species